GUCCUGUUUUUCUCUGACUGUUAAUGAUAUUACUACUAAAUCUAUUGGAUGCUGGAUAAGUACUGAUUGAUAUUGUAGUCUAAGAUGUUUUUAUAAGCUGUUAUUCAGUCUUUGUUUUUGUUAGUUAUUUUCCUGUUUUUUUUAUCAAAUCAACGAGUUAAGUCCUUUUCAACUGAUUUUCGUAGUUUGAUCUUUUGUUGUACUGUUACACUACUGUCUCAGGUUAGGGAGAAGGUUUGCGCUGGCAAACAUGUUUAAUAUCGCCAUAUUCUGUAUAUGCCUGUCCCAAGUCGGGAGCCUGUAUUUUCAGUGGUUUGUAUUUGUAUAACAUAUUUGUUUUUCCUUUUUUUGUAUAGUACAUAAAUCAGGCAGUUAGUUUUGUUGUUUGAAUCGUAUUGCAUUUGCAAUGACAGACCUUUUCUAUGCAGUAUUGAUUUUGGUCAUUGUUGAAGACCAAUAUGUGGCAUACAGUAGUCAUUUGGUCUCUGUAGGAGGUUAGUGUCAUGCGCAAUCAUACCAUCUUCUUUUCUUAUAAUAACAGUUGAGCAAGAAACAAUUGAUGGUUCUUACAGAGAACACCCAUAAUGGAGGGUGAUACUAAAUGAUUGAUAGUCUUUCCAUAUAUAUAUGAUGCUUAUAAAUGUAGAGAUUUAAUGUAC
rnacentral:lncRNA from 1 species